AAUGAACGUUGGCGGCGUGGAUUAGGCAUGCAAGUCGCACGAGUACACCAAUUAGCUUGCUAAGAGGUGGAUAGUGGCGCAAGGGAGAGUAACGCGUGGUUACUUGCCCUCGAGACCGGGACAGUGUCGGGAAACUGGCAGUAAUACCGGGUAACAUCUUCGGAUCAAAAGGUGAGAUUCCGCUCGAGGAUAGGACCGCGUACUAUUAGCUUGUUGGUGAGGUAACGGCUCACCAAGGCUGCGAUGGUUACCGGGUGUGAGAGCAUGGCCCGGCUCACUGGGACUGAGACACUGCCCAGACACCUACGGGUGGCUGCAGUCGAGAAUCUUCGGCAAUGGACGAAAGUCUGACCGAGCGACGCCGCGUGCGGGAUGAAGGCCCUCGGGUUGUAAACCGCUGUCAGUAGUUAGGAAAUCCAUGGGAGUUAUCUCCCAUGGUUGACCGAUCUUCAGAGGAAGGACGGGCUAAGUUCGUG
rnacentral:rRNA from 1 species